UUGUUUGUUUUGGUUUGUCGAGUGGUCCAUAUUAAAAAUGUGUUCUGCUCUGCUGAGGCAUAUGGUAGAAAGAUUUGAUAUCGAAUGUACUAAUUUUGGGUCCGACGUCCUUGAACUUUUCAAUCUUUGGGAACCACGUAAAAGGAUCAAUAUAUGAAUCUGUUAUUUUUCUCCAUUGUACAAGCAUAUGAUAAAAAGAUCAUAACAUGUCAUUUUUCAUAUCGCAUGUAUUAUCAGCCCUCAGUCAAUAUCAGCCCUCGAGCCAUGCGGCUCUUGGGCUGAUAUUGAACCUAGG
rnacentral:lncRNA from 1 species